AUGGAGGCUGAGUUUAAGAUUCCUCACUGUGUGUUUACAGGUGUCUGGUGUGAGGUGCAGCUGGUGGAGUCUAGUGAAGGCUUAGUACAGCCUCGAAGUUCCCUGAAACUCUCCUGUGUAGCCUCUGGAUUCACUUUCAAUAAGUAUGACAUGUGCUGGGUUCACCAGGCUCCAAAGAAGGGUCUGGAAUUGGUAGCAAUCAUUUAUUAUGGUGGUGGUAACAAGUACUAUGAAGACACAGUGAAGGGUCAAUUCACCAUCUCCAGAGAGAAUUCUAAGAACACCCUGUACCUGGAAAUGAGCAAUCUGAGGUCUAAGGACACAGCCAUAUAUUACUGUGCAAAACACAUGGUGAAAGUAGUGCUAAACUGUGGGUUCAUCACCAAUACUUAUUUCACCACAUUUUCACAGUGA